rnacentral:lncRNA from 1 species
UUGGGACAGUCAAUUUUUCGAAGCAGGUGAAUUCAAUAUUUUUUCCCCCUUUUGGAUUCAAAAUUUGUUUUAAAGACUCGACAGUGAAAGCUCUUGCAGGUUACCUGCUUGGGAUUAUAUCAUUAGGUUCACAAAGUUGAGAUAGCAAGGAUCAA